UACGGAGGGUGCAAACGUUGCUCGGAAUCAUUGGGCGUAAAGCGCACGUAGGCGGUCCGUUAUGUCGGGUGUGAAAGCCCUCGGCUUAACCGAGGAAGUGCAUUCGAAACUGGCGGACUUGAGUACCGGAGAGGGUCGCGGAAUUCCCGGUGUAGCGGUGGAAUGCGCAGAUAUCAGGAGGAACACCGAUGGCGAAGGCAGCUCUCUGGUACGUGACUGACACUGAGACGCGAAAGCGUGGGGAGCGAACAGG
rnacentral:rRNA from 1 species